CGGGUAGAGUAACACGUGAGCAACCUACCUUUCAGUGGGGGACAACAUUUGGAAACGAAUGCUAAUACCGCNUAAGACCACAGUGUCGCAUGGCACAGGGGUCAAAGGAUUUAUCCGCUGAAAGAUGGACUCGCGUCCGAUUAGCUAGAUGGUGAGGUAACGGCCCACCAUGGCGACGAUCGGUAGCCGGACUGAGAGGUUGAACGGCCACAUUGGGACUGAGACACGGCCCAGACUCCUACGGGAGGCAGCAUG
rnacentral:rRNA from 1 species